rnacentral:lncRNA from 1 species
AUGGAUAACUUGGAAGCAUGGGCAGUUUGAGUACAUUUGUAUGUAUAGCAAUAGAGACCCAAAUUUUGUUCUAGAAUCUAAACAGUCCAUCAUCAAAGAUCCUAAAAUCAGGAGAUUUGUUAGAAGUGAACACCCAAAUUCUUGAUGAGUUCUGGGUCCGUGGCUUGUGCUUCCCAGAUUUUCAUAAAGAGAUCCGGUAUGGCUCAGAUCUGUGCGAGAUAGGUGCCCUUGAUGUAAUAGCUAAGGCAAAGCGAUUGUGCACUGUCCAUCAUCUUUCACCUAGAGGCCAUGGUUUGAGCUAGCACAACAGGCUCAUU